AUACCCUGGUAGUCCACGCAGUAAACGAUGAUAACUCGUUGUCGGCGAUACACAGUCGGUGACUAAGCGAAAGCGAUAAGUUAUCCACCUGGGGAGUACGUUCGCAAGAAUGAAACUCAAAGGAAUUGACGGGGGCCCGCACAAGCGGAGGAACAUGUGGUUUAAUUCGAUGAUACGCGAGGAACCUUACCCGGGCUUGAAAGUUAGCGACGAUUCUGGAAACAGGAUUUCCCUUCGGGGCGCGAAACUAGGUGCUGCAUGGUUGUCGUCAGCUCGUGCCGUGAGGUGUCGGGUUAAGUCCCAUAACGAGCGCAACCCCUACCGUUAGUUGCCAUCAGGUAAUGCUGGGCACUCUAGCGGGACUGCCGGUGUAAGCCGAGAGGAAGGUGGGGAUGACGUCAAAUCAGCACGGCUCUUACGUCCGGG
rnacentral:rRNA from 1 species